rnacentral:tRNA from 1 species
GGAGGAUACAGCUCAGUGGUAGAGCACAUGCCUAGCAUGCACAAGGUCCUGGGUUCAAUCCCGAGUACCUCCA